ACAGAAGACAUGAUUGAAUGGUACAGGGUAGGAGACUGUAGGCAUAGAUACAGCCCUCAGAGGAGGCACGGGGAAGAGUGGCAUUCCAGAUGAGAUUUGAGCAAGGUUCCUGUAGUCAGUGACUAAAUAAACCCUCGUUCAGCUUCCUGGAAGACUGGAGAAGGCAAGAAGCUGGGGAAGGAGUCAGACUGAUCGAGGGAGCUUGAGGUGUCUGAUUCUUGCCGUUUGACCCCUGUCCCCUAAGUCAUCCAAGUUCAAGUCACAGGACGGACAACCCUGCCCAAGCCUGUCAUUACCAGGCAUUAUGUGACUACUUAGAAGAGGCCUCUGUUGCCUCAUGUGCCAUUUCCAUCCGGCUGCAGCUGUCAGUACGGACAGACUUGGUUUCCUUCCUGGAGUCGGCGAGGGCGGCCCCACCCUGUCCUACCAGCUCAAUCAUCUGGAGCAUCACCCACAAGCUGAGAAGAUUCCAGAACACGCCAAGCUCCAAGGCAUGCAAAGAAGGGGCCCUUCUGGGGAGUUCUAAAGCCAGAGGUCUUCUGGAACCCAUUAUAGAGCAACUGUCCAGUGAACUCAGGUCCCUCCAGUCAAGGACUUCUAGGAAGGGCUGGCGGGGAAGCAUGAACUGCAUGGACUGCCCAAGUGUGACCAAGGGUUCUAGACACAUCUGAAGAGGGCAUCGGAUCCCAUUACAGAUGGUUGUGAGCCACCAUGUGGAUGCUGGGAUUUGAACUCGGGACCUCUGGAAGAACAGUCAUUGCUCCUAACCACUGAGCCAUCUCUCCAGCCCUCACUACCACAUUGUUAAAUGCAGCCCUCCGCUACCUCCUAAGUCCAGAGUGCCUUGUGUUCUCAUACUGACCACCAGGAUCGGAUGGUUUGACUUCUUCCUGUAAGUGACCUGGGGUGACCUGUGGAAAAGGUUCACGGCUCUGUUGAACUAGAAAAACCCUAUAACAUCACAAAAGUAUGCCAAUGAAGAGGUUCAAACCUUCAUGUUUCUUUUGUUUUAAGGAUGUCUGUGGAACUACCUAGGCCAUCAAGAGAGUGCACAUCUGAAAAGCCACCAAGUAUCUAAAUGAUGUCACUUUAAAAAUCCACCUUGAGCUAUUCCAGAGGCACAAUGGUGGGGUUAGUAGGAGCAGUGAGACUGGACCAAAGAGUGGUCCGUGACUGAAAACACAGAGGGGGAUGCUGAUUCUUGAGUCACUGAACAUCUCCGGGUGAGCUAAACAUCCACAGUGCAUUGUCGAACUUAAGACACAGCAUCCAGUUAACCCACCAGUGAGCUCCCCUGCCUCAUCAAGAUGACCUCAACGAAAACAAACUGUCCCUAACGAGGAGACUGCACUGAAGCAAACCACAUCCCAGGGGAAACUGCAGAACAAAAGCUUUUGGCACCAGAACAAAUUUAGCAUAAAAUGAGUGCAAAUAAAAAAA
rnacentral:lncRNA from 1 species